GGAGUACGGCCGCAAGGCUAAAACUCAAAGGAAUUGACGGAGGCCCGCACAAGCGGCGGAGCAUGUGGAUUAAUUCGAUGCAACGCGAAGAACCUUACCUGGGUUUGACAUACACCGGAAAGCUGUGGAGACAUGGCCUCCGUAAGGCCGGUGUACAGGUGGUGCAUGGCUGUCGUCAGCUCGUGUCGUGAGAUGUUGGGUUAAGUCCCGCAACGAGCGCAACCCUUAUCCUAUGUUGCCAGCGGGUGAUGCCGGGGACUCAUGGGAGACUGCCGGGGUCAACUCGGAGGAAGGUGGGGACGAGGUCAAGUCAUCAUGCCCCUUAUGUCCAGGGCUUCACACAUGCUACAAUGGCCGGUACAGAGGGCUGCGAAACCGUGAGGUGGAGCGAAUCCCAUAAAGCCGGUCUCAGUUCGGAUCGGGGUCUGCAACUCGACCCCGUGAAGUCGGAGUCGCUAGUAAUCGCAGAUCAGCAAUG
rnacentral:rRNA from 1 species